CUUUAUUCCUCCAAUUAUCCCAAUUUCGUCUAUUGGUCUGAUCAUCCCAUCUAUGGUUCCUUCUCCAAGUAUUCUCCCAAUAACUGUUCCUGUUGUUUCUUCGUUUUUCUCCCCAACUGUGAUUUCCCCAGUUAUUAUCUCUCCUUUUUAGCCUCUCCCAGUUAUUAUUAUUAUUCCAAUUAUUGUUAAUUACCUGAGGCUCAUCCCAUCUAUUUCUCCA